rnacentral:rRNA from 1 species
GCUAAACGCGAAGAACCUUACCAAGGCUUGACAUGGAUUUCUAAGCACGUGAAAGCGUGUGACCCUUCGGGGGACUUCCACAGGUGCUGCAUGGCCGUCGUCAGCUCGUGUCGUGAGAUGUUGGGUUAAGUCCCGCAACGAGCGCAACCCUUGUGAACAGUUGCCAGCGCGUCAUGGCGGGAACUCUGUUCAGACUGCCCAGAUCAACUGGGAGGAAGGUGGGGACGACGUCAGGUCAGUAUGGCCCUUACGCCUUGGGCUGCACACGUACUACAAUGGUCGGUACAAAGGGUUGCCAAGCCGCGAGGUGGAGCUAAUCCCAUAAAACCGAUCGUAGUCCGGAUCGCAGUCUGCAACUCGACUGCGUGAAGUCGGAAUCGCUAGUAAUCGUGAAUCAGAAUGUCACGGUGAAUACGUUCCCGGGUCUUGUACACACCG